rnacentral:rRNA from 1 species
AUUGAACGCUGGCGGCAGGCCUAACACAUGCAAGUCGAACGAGUGGCGGACGGGUGAGUAAUGUCUGGGAAUCUGCCCGAUGGAGGGGGAUAACUACUGGAAACGGUAGCUAAUACCGCAUACUAUCGGAUGUGCCCAUAUGGGAUUAGCUAGUAGGUGGGGUAACGGCUCACCUAGGCGACGAUCCCUAGCUGGUCUGAGAGGAUGACCAGCCACACUGGAACUGAGACACGGUCCAGACUCCUACGGGAGGCAGCAGUGGGGAAUAUUGCACAAUGGGCGCAAGCCUGAUGCAGCCAUGCCGCGUGUAUGAAGAAGGCCUUAGGGUUGUAAAGUACUUUCAGCGGGGAGGCGUUACUCGCAGAAGAAGCACCGGCUAACUCCGUGCCAGCAGCCGCGGUAAUAC